rnacentral:tRNA from 1 species
UCCCUCAUAGCUCAGUCAGUAGAGAAUCUGCCUGCAGUGCAGGAGACCCGGGUUCAAUUCUUGGGUUGGGAA